rnacentral:tmRNA from 1 species
GGGGGCGAAACGGUCUCGACGGGAAGGGUGAUACAAGGGUUGCAUGCACGGGAUGCCGUUGGCCCGUUAAAAAACGGCAAAAACAUAAUCGCUAACGAUUAUGAUGUUGCAGUAGCUGCUUAACUAAACCUUAAGCCAGUUACCGUUCCUCUUCCUAAGUCUGCGGGGAAGGCAGGAACGUCAUUUAGCGGACUGGUCGGGUCGGCCCGCUUCGAGCCGAUCGGACGAGAUUCCAGAAGCUGGCUGAGAGAGUAUCCGGUCCCAGGGAGCCGCUCUCAGCGAGAUCCAAACUUGGGAAUAAGCAUGUAGACGCCUUUGCUUGAAACUUUUCGGACGGGGGUUCGACUCCCCCCGCCUCCAUUU